GACUGUCUGCCUCUGUGUGUGUAUGACUGUCUGCCUCUGUGUGUGUGUGUGUAUGUAUGACUGUGUGUAUGACAGUCAUACACACGACACACACAGGCAGACAGUCAUACACACAGACACACA